GCCUUGGUAGCUCAAUUGGCUAGAGCGUGGGACUUUUACAAAUAAAUAAAAACAAACCCCGGACUCUCCGGUCUAUGUAUAGAGGUAUCCCAAGGUUGCGGGUUCGACCCCCGCCUGAGGCG